rnacentral:rRNA from 1 species
GACGAGCGCUGGCGGCGUGCUUAACACAUGCAAGUCGAACGGACAGGCCCUGCUUUUGUGGGGUGCUCGAGUGGCGAACGGGUGAGUAACACGUGAGUAACCUGCCCUUGACUUUGGGAUAACUUCAGGAAACUGGGUCUAAUACCGGAUAUGAGCUCCUGCUGCAUGUUGGGGGUUGGAAAGUUUCGGCGGUUGGGGAUGGACUCGCGGCUUAUCAGCUUGUUGGUGGGGUAGUGGCUUACCAAGGCUUUGACGGGUAGCCGGCCUGAGAGGGUGACCGGCGACAUUGGGACUGAGAGACGGCCCAGACUCCUACGGGAGGCAGCAGUGGGGAGUAUUGCACAAUGGGCGGAAGCCUGAUGCAGAAACGCCGCGUGCGGAAUGACGGCCUUCGGGUGGUAAACAGCUGUCGACUGUGACGAAGCGUGAGUGACGGUAAUGGGUAAAGAAGCACCGGCUAACUACGUG